rnacentral:rRNA from 1 species
AGAAUGAACGCUGGCGGCGUGCUUUACACAUGCAAGUUGAGCGAGGCCACCCGCAAGGGUGAGUCGAGCGGCGAACGGGUGAGUAACGCGUGGAUAACCUGCCCUUUAGUGGGGAAUAACCCGGGGAAACUCGGGCUAAUACCGCAUAAGACCGAGAGGUGAAAGCGGGGUCGCAAGAUCUCGUGCUAAUGGAGGGGUCCGCGUUCGAUUAGCUAGUUGGUAGGGUAAUGGCCUACCAAGGCGACGAUCGAUA